AAUAGAUACCCCGGUAGUCCACGCCGUAAACGAUGAAUGCUAGGUGUUAGGGGUUUCGAUACCCUUGGUGCCGAAGUUAACACAUUAAGCAUUCCGCCUGGGGAGUACGGCCGCAAGGCUGAAACUCAAAGGAAUUGACGGGGACCCGCACAAGCAGUGGAGUAUGUGGUUUAAUUCGAAGCAACGCGAAGAACCUUACCAGGUCUUGACAUCCCCCUGACCGGUGCAGAGAUGUGCCUUUCCUUCGGGACAGGGGAGACAGGUGGUGCAUGGUUGUCGUCAGCUCGUGUCGUGAGAUGUUGGGUUAAGUCCCGCAACGAGCGCAACCCUUGACUUUAGUUGCCAGCAAGUAAGGUUGGGCACUCUAGAGUGACUGCCGGUGACAAACCGGAGGAAGGUGGGGAUGACGUCAAAUCAUCAUGCCCCUUAUGACCUGGGCUACACACGUACUACAAUGGCCGGUACAACGGGAAGCGAAGGAGCGAUCUGGAGCGAAUCCUUUAAAGCCGGUCUCAGUUCGGAUUGCAGGCUGCAACUCG
rnacentral:rRNA from 1 species